rnacentral:lncRNA from 1 species
CUGGACAGCUACAUGUAAAUCCAUGAAACUAGAACGCAUCCUCAUGACAUGCACAAAAAUAAACUCAAAAUGGCUUAAAGACUUAAACAUAAGACAUGACACCAUAAAACUCCUAGAAGAGAACACAGGAAAAAUAUUCUCUGACAUAAACAAUACAAAUGUUUCCUUAGGUAUCCUAAGGCAAUAAAAAUAAAAACAAAAAUUAACCAAUGGGACCUAAUCAAACUUACAAGAUUUUUGGUACAGAAAAGGAAAUCACUUAAAAAAAAAUGACAACCUACAGAAUGGGAGAAAAUAGUUGCAAUGAUGCAAUCAAUAAGGGCUUAAUUUCCAAAAUACACAAAAAACUCAUACAGUUCAACAACAAAAAAACAAACAACCCAAUUGAAAAAUGAGCAGAAGACCUAAAUAGAUAUUUCUCAAAAGAAGACAUACAGAUAGCCAGUAGGCACAUGAAAAACUGUUCAACAUUGCUAAUUAUUAGAGAAAUGAAAAUCAAAACUACAAUGAGGUACCACCUCACAUGGGUCAGAAUGACCAUCAUUAAUAAGCCCACAAAUAACAAAUGCUAGAGAGGGGGUGGAGAAAAGGGAACCCUCCUACACUAUUGGUGGGAAUGUAAACUGGUACAACCACUAUGAAAAACACAUGGAGGUAUCUCAGAAAACUAAAUAUAGAACUACCAUAUGAUCCAGCAAUCCCACUCCUGGACAUAUAUCCAGACAAACCCUUCAUUGAAAAAGAUACCUGAACCCAUAUGUUCAUGACAGCACUAUUCACAAUAGCCAAGAUACAGAAACAAGCAUAAAUAUCCAUUGACAGAUGAAUGGAUUAAGAAGAUGUGUUGUAUAUAUACACAAUGGAACACUACCCAGCCAUAAAAAAGAACAAAAUAGUGCUAUUUGCAGCAACAGGGGUGGAAUUAAAGAUUCUCAUACUAAGUGAAUUAAGUCAGAAAGAGAAAAACAAAUACCAUAUAAUAUCACAUAUCUGGAACCUAAUAUAUGGCACAAAUGAACCUAUCUAUGAAGAGAAACAAACUCAUGGACUUGGAGAAAAGACUUGUGGUUGCCAAAUGGGAGGGAAAGGGAGUGGGAUGGACUGGGAAUUUGAGGUUAGUAGAUGCAAAAUAUUGCAUUUGGAGUGGAUAAGCAAUGAGAUCCUGUUGUAUGGCACAGGGAAAUAUAUAUAGUUACUUGUGAUGGAACAUGAUGGAGGAUAAUAAAAAGAUGGUAAAUAUAUGUAUGACUAGGUCAUUUUGCUGUACUGAAAUUGACACAACAUUGUAAAUCAACCAUAUUU